UUAAACCUAUGGAAAAGUUGGAUAAGUAACAUGAGCGGAGAUGUCGCAGAAGAGCCUUAUCAAGAGACUCUUUUAACCUAUAAAAGGAAAACCAAAAUCCUAAGAAAGGUAACCCCUCUGUGUGCUUGGAAAAGAUAGCUGCAAGAUCAUCAACUUCAAUCGAGAUUGUUUGAGGUGAAAAUCAAUUUUUGUCCAAACACCUUUGGCGCCGACUAAGGGGAACAAAUUCUCCACAUCCAAAAGAAAGUAACGUCUUGAGUGAUCUGUCAGAGAUCAAAUAGAGACAGAUUAACGAUCUAUGCACUUUGCUCUCCUCCUCCAUUACGUCAAAUAUGGGUUUGCACAUCUUUUACUUCUGCCUUUUGAUUAUAAACAUACGAUAUACCAUGUACGCAUCUGAUUAUAAUCUUAGAUCGUAUCUUCUUACGGAUGUCAAAAGUAAUAAGGUCAAUAUAUGGAUAAUUUAGACCAUACUUGCUUGAACUGUAAUUAGCAUGAGAGAGCAUAUUAGGAUCAAUGCCAAUCUGAUUGGUCCAACAAUAAAGAGCCAAUAUCUAUAUCUCGUUGUCCUUACCUAACAAGCAUUUAAUUAAACCAUCCAUCUUCUUAUGUGAAAUUAACUGCGUACCUAGCUGGUACUACUGAAUGCUUUUCUUUUUUGAUGAUGCUAAGAAUGCCAUUCAUACGCCCGCUUGAUUUUUAAGACGCAUGUUAAGACUCUUACUAACUCAAUCUCAGAGCUUAAGACUCUCAUGUACGAUAACAAAAGUAGGUGGCAGGUGGCGUCCAAUAAAGAAAGCAAAGCUCCUUCUGAAAUGCAAAUCAUUUGUACUUUCUCGGUCACCAGGAAUUUGGUGGAUAUUUUUCAAUUCACUACCAGUAAGUGCGAAUGCUGACAGUAACAUCUUGCUGCGGCAGUACCAGAUAUUAAGAAGAUACAUAAGCAUUGAGCGGUGUACUGGUAAAGGAGAAAAACCUCAGAGCUUGUUCUUACACCGAUUCAAGAAGUCACGCUUUUGGUGGUCUGCUGUAGAUCAAAUACAGACGAUCUAGUUGAUCUCCUUCAUCUUCUCACGUCUACACAUUGGGUUUGCGCACUUUCUUUUCACUUAUUUUUUACUUGUUUUGUUUUAUAACAGCUAAAUAUACCACAAACAACAACAUUAUGGAAGCCACAAGGUUGUCAUCCUGGAUUCAAGAUCGACUACAACAACUUUUUCCUGAGUCGACCUAUAUUACACCAAUUUACUUCAUAAGCCAAUGCUAAUGGGGGCGAAAAUUAGGUGUAUACUGGAACUUGUUUCAUUUUCGGUUAUGGAUAAAAGAUUUGAACGAGAGUCACUCCAGGGACGGAUAAUCUCUAGGGUGAUCAUCCUUACGUAACGGUCCACAACCACUGGCAAUUACGUAAGAAUUUAUCUGCUCAUUCUCUUUCAAAUCUUCUUGCCUCAUCCUUUUGGUUUCAAUGAAUUCCUCGUAUAUAUGAUAUUUAGUCAUUGGUAUGGGUCAUGAAAGGUUUCUUACUGAGAUAUGCACAGAUGCGGACACUAAUAUACAAGAAAAGGCACGUACGCAACAAAUCUACGUCCAACGACUCCUUACAUAUAACCCAUCUCGUUAACUAUCUUGAAUUUGAGUCUCUUCAUUGAUUUAUGCCGUUGCACUAGAUUUAGUGAUUCAGGCUUUUGUAAUAACUAAGAGCUUUUGGGGCAGGAGAGCAUAUCUUUUCAUUCUUAUGAAAAUCGCACUUACGUGCUAGUAGUGGCAGCAAAUACACCAUACUCCAAAUCAGCUACAACGGCUGCAAAUGGGGGCGACAUGGACAUAGCUAAUGGAGAUGACUAGAUCACUCAGACAAAUUUCUUAACCUCUCAACAAGUUGGAGCUUAAGAGGGACGAUGUGUGUACCCAAUGUAAAUCAUGGUCCGCAUGGGCUAUCCUAGGCUGCCGUCUAUAGCUACAAUUAUGGUCUCUAGUCUUGGCCAAUAUUUCAUGUACGAACUUAUCUCUUAAACCUAUGGAAAAGUUGGAUAAGUAACAUGAGCGGAGAUGUCGCAGAAGAGCCUUAUCAAGAGACUCUUUUAACCUAUAAAAGGAAAACCAAAAUCCUAAGAAAGGUAUGCGAUCAAACCCUAGAAAAAUCACCUGCGAAUACUUGAGACUAACUUGAGCGUCGGAGUAUUUGUUUUGUAGGUAACCUCUCUGUGUGCUUGGAGAAGAUAGCUGCGAGAUCAUCAACUUCAAUCGAGAUUGUUUGAGGUGAAGAUCAAUUUUUGCCCAAACAAAAGGGUUUCAAAAUGUAGUUUUAACUCAUCAGCAAUUUGAGAUUUCUGUUUCAAGACCUCCCUAUUUUGCUUAGUUAAACAAUCAAUUUUGUUUCUUUUUCUUCUUUUGAGUGUUUUAACAUGAAAAUAUUUAGUAUUUCUCUCUCCUAACUUCAUAUAAUUGUCUCUAGAAAUUUGUUUUGCAAUUACUUCUUGCGUA